UCAUAACAGUAGCAAAAUUACAGUUAUGAAAUAACAAUGAAAAUAAUUUUAUGGUUGGGAGUCACCACAACAUGAGGAACAGUAUUAAAGGGUCGUGGCAUUAGGAAGGUUGAGAACCACUGGUCUAAACCAUGACAACAUCCUUCACCUAACACCACCAGUGCAGGGCCACACUGACCUGUGUGCACCUGCUGUGCCAGCUCAGAGCCUGAGGCAGCAGAAGCUCCUCCCCCUCCUCACCCCCCAUUCCCUACCCCAGGGAGCAGAGGUGGGCCAGGACCUGAGUGCAUAUGUAGCUUCAUGCCCUCAUCUCUGAGCUCCCUGUCAAUCAUUCUAGGUGCCAGAGGCAUCAUCUCUAAGGCCCCACACCUCUGAGCAUGAUGUUCCCAAAGCAAUUUGCAAAUCAGGACCGGCCCUUUAUAGGUGUUAGAAGUCAUUUGCAUUUUUAUUUUAAAGUCUAAGAGUUGAUAAGUAUAUGCUAUAAUAACUAGUUUUGCCCUCAUUUGGGGAGGGGAUGAGCAACAUAAACUCCUAUGCUCCUGAGAAAGUUAAAUUGAGUUCUUCCUCAGGUUGGUUGGUUGCAUCAGGCACAUUCUUGCUCUUCCAUCAUGUCUAUAAUCCUAGACUUUAGUAGUUUAAUAGAUCCCUAUUUAAUAUAGUAGAAAAUAUCUACAAGGGUCAGAGAAAUGAACAAGUGAUGAAAAUAAAAGGAAUGCAUUACGAAUUUACAUAUUCCUGAAGGUAGGGCAAUUGGAGUUCCAUCUUAUCCCAAAUAGUAACCACAAUUCAGUCUCAUUCAUGUGUCUGCUCAUUCAACAAACAUUUAUUGAGCCCAUAGCCAGAUGUUUGCUAAGCAUCGAUUGAAUGCAAGAUGUGUGUGACAGGAUCCUUGUCCUCCAAGGGCCUACGUUCCAGUGGGGAUGACAGUAGUCGUCAAAUGGAAUUUCAGGUGCCAUAGCCAGGUGCAGUAGGGCACAGAGGAGGGAGUGGCCAGUUCUGCCAGGGUUGGGCUGGGGAUGGUUAGAACAGGUUGCAAAGGGCUGAGGGAUGUCCCUUGGAAUGCCUCCAUGAGAGGGGAACCUUCAGGAAACACGGUUACCCUGUUGUGUGUGUGCGUGUGAAUCCUCACCCGAGGAUAUUUUUCCAUUGAUUUUUAGAGAGAGGGAAAGAGAGAAAUAUUGAUGUGAGAGAAACACAUCGAUCGAUUGGUUGCCUCCUACAUGAGCCCUGACCAGGGCCCAGGCAGGGGAGGAGCCUGCAACCGAGGUACGUGCCCUUGACCGGAAUCAAACCCGGGACCCUUCAGUCUGCAGUCCGAAGCUCUAUCCACUGAGCCAAACCGACUAGGGCUGCCCUGCUUUUUGAACAGGGAAUGUGCACAAACAAUUGGAGAUGUUGAUUAAAUUGCAGGUGAUCCAGCACCAGGAUCAGAGGCUGCAGUGACAUGUCCCAGUAACAUCUGGCCACACACCACCAGACCUCUCACAGGGUUCCAAACUAACGGCAGCAUUUCCCCCCAGACCUCAUUUUCAUGGACUCUGCUCGUAACUGCACUGACCAGAUGAACCAUCCCUCAUGCACCUCUUGCUCCACCACCAGAACCACCCAUUCGCCCGACGGACGUGGCUCAGUGGUUGAGCGUCAACCUAUGAACCAGGAGGUCACGGUUGGAUUCCUGGUCAGGGCACAUGCCCGGAUUGCAGGCUUGAUCCCCAAUAAGAGGGCAUGCAGGAGGCAGCCAAUGGAGGAUUCUCUCACAUCAUUGACUUUUCUAUCUUUCUCUCCCCCUCUCCCUUCCUCUCUGAAAUCAAUAGAAAUAUAUAUGUGUAUAUAUAUGAAAAAAAGAACUAGCCCUUCAUCACACUCAAUCCAUUGGCUCUGAUGAGACUGACUGGGAUGAGCACAUGACUCAGGUUUGGCCAAUGGGAAACGCCCUUCUCCUGGUCUGACUUGUUUAAGAUGAAGACAUGCCCCAAUCUGGUCCAUUGACUGCUGCUGGACUUUCCAGAAAGCGGUGCCCUCUGUCCACUGAGGCUGCCAAGCUGGCAAGACAUAAGCCCAGAACCUCUAGGGGCCAUUACGGAGAAUGAAGCCACCAGCAUAGAAGAAAGCAGAGCCAAGAGAUGGCAUGAGACAGGCUCCUAAUGACACAGGAUGAGCACCUGGAUCCAGCUGUGCCUGAAGCUCCAGAGGCCACGCUCUUCCACACACCAUCUCACAGCCCUGUCCACCUUCUAGACGUACACAAGGGGACGGGACACCAUGUAAAGAAUGGGCAUCGCAGCACUGCUUAUGACUAAAAAAACUGGAAACGCCUAAAGAGUCUGGCAACCUGACCAAUAACUGCAUUGCCACUUGUUCAUACAAUGGACCGCAAAACACAAGUAAAAAUGAGUAAGUCGGAACCACGCUGGUAUCAGUGCAGAGGAAUCUCUCCACUGAAAUGCUGAGUGAAAAGACACAAGUUGCUGAAGGGAAUAGUAAGAAAACUUGCAUGCAAAAUGGAGAAACCACGCAGAAUAAUAUUAUCUAUUGUAGUGAAAGUAUCAAUAAACGAGUAGGAGACCGAAUAUCUAAAUUCAGGUUGUUUGAUUUCUCUGGGGGCUACUUGCGCAUUUGUGCUAUUAUUCUUAAUACUUUUUUUUCUCCUCUCAACAUUUAUUCAAACAGAAAAAUUGAAAGACUUGUCCUGUGAGCACUCAUAUCUCUGUUACUUAGCACAAUGGACAGAUUGCUGUAUUUACUUACCACAUACAUAUCCAUUUCCCCACAUCCUGGGUACCUUUUGGUAUGUUAGAACCAUUUUGUAAUUAAAAACUUUUUUAAAAAGGGGGAAGAAACAACGUAGGGGAAAACUCACACUUUUAUUAUUUAAAAUAGCGUAGGUCAGAAAACAAAUGGGCCCUAACCGGUUUGGCUCAGUGGAUAGAGCGUCAGCCUGCGGACUCAAGGGUCCCAGGUUCGAUUCCAGUCAAGGGCAUGUACCUUGGUUGCGGGCACAUCCCCAGUAGGGGGUGUGCAGGAGGCAGCUGAUCGAUGUUUCUAACUCUCUAUCCCUCUCC